ensembl:snoRNA small nucleolar RNA, C/D box 67
UGCGAGAGUGAUGAGUUGCACACUGGUGGUGUUGCCAUGUCAGGUGAUGUGGGCACCACUCAGAAUCUCCCUGAUGACAAAGCCAAGUGCACAGGGGCCAUCUGACUCGCU